rnacentral:rRNA from 1 species
AACCUACCAGAAAGCCAAUCUCAGUUCGGAUUGUAGGCUGCAACUCGCCUACAUGAAGUUGGAAUCGCUAGUAAUCGCGAAUCAGAAUGUCGCGGUGAAUACGUUCCCGGGUCUUGUACACACCGCCCGUCACACCACGAGAGUUUACAACACCCGAAGUCAGUGGCCUAACCGCAAGGAGGGAGCUGCCUAAGGUGGGGUAGAUGAUUGGGGUGAAGUCGUAACAAGGUACC